ensembl:lncRNA
GGCUGGGCUCCAGUGCUCAUGGGGUAAGCCGGUCAGACUCAGGAGCCACAAGGGGCUCCUUCAGGACGAUGAUGUGAACUUGGUAAAUAAUCGUCAACUCAAUGAAUGGACGCAAGAAGCCUGGGAGAGGGUCCAGGAACUAUGGCUGCAUGUCUUAUCAGCGGCUGAUGACACAACUGUUUAUCAUGACAUUGUUUCGAACCGUUCACGCUGGCACAGAAUCUCAGCAAAACUGCCUGAUGGAGCCUGGGAGCCCCUGAGUCCAAGGGCACCCUGGGGAGGCGUCUGCUCACCUGGUGCAAAGCUGUUCGGGGUUUCCAAUCCACCCCCGAUCUGCGAAUGCACCCUUGUGGCCAAUAGGACUGUGGACGUGGAGGCUCUGAAGCGGGCGACGGUACCAAUGGCCCCGGGGCGAGUGUAACCUCAGAGUCCUGACGAGGGAAGGAGGGAGGCAGGCAGGUCGGAGUCAGGGAGGCCUCAGGGCUGCAGGGAGCUGACCCUGACUGCGGACUCGACCGACGCCCAGAGCUCGUGUUCGGGCUGCAGGCGGGAGCUGACCCUGUACCGUGGACUCGACCGACGCCCAGAGCUCGUGUGGUUCCACCCCCACCCCCACCCGGGACGAGGACGGUGAGCCUGGGGGUCGGGGACUCAGGGCCAGAAUGGCGGUCACAGCCACGCGCACAUUCAGAGCUGAGCUUCAGGACUUCCUGCCGAUACAGGUGUCACGUGGAGAAACAUGAGCGGACAACGCGGACCUGUCAAGAACAGGACACCCUCCCCAGCAGAGACACGGCGCUUUCUCCUAACGUGAAAGAUGACAGCAGCUCACCCUCACCCUCCCCCACGGACCUGGAGUCACUGCAAGACCAGAAAGACGCUGAACUGGAUCCAACUCAGCGUGGCCACUUCUGCCUCUGACACCAGGCAAGAUGCCCACCCUCUCUGAGCCUCACACCCCCUGUCUGCAAAACGGGAAUGAAAGCAAUAGUGUGAUGGAAGUGCUCAGAAUGCAAC